CUGUUAGGUGUCCCCACAGUGCUUAUCUUGCUGCUGCCUUUGGGGAAAGGGAGCCCAUCUAGGGCUCAAAUGGAAGAGAUGGAAAUGAGUCUCAGAAGUCCAGCCUCCAUCUUGCCUUCUCUGGGUUUAACUCAAAAAAGCAGAUGAAAGCAGAAGCCUGGGGAGUGAGGCUGAAUCCAGAGAUGGGAUCAGGGCAGCAGCUUGACAGCAGACUGUGACGGCUAAUAAGCAAGUCUCCUUGGGGACACACGGAACACUGGAUCAGAAUAUCAAAUCCCAGGAAGGAAGCACUGGAAGGGAUUUGAGAUAUUUUGGUAUCAAACUGUCAUUCUGUAAAUGAGAAGUCUCAGGUCCAGAGAGGAGAAUUGACUUGUCCAAGAUCACACUUUCCAUUGUGCCAGGCAAUGAGUUUCCAAAGGCUCUAGCCAAAAUUGUGAUGUCAUAAUAGCUCCCCCUUGCAUAUUAUUUUAUGCUUCAAAAGGCUCUUUUCUAGCCGUUCUCUCACUUGAUCCUCAUGACAAUCCUGUGAGCUGAGUCACACAGUAGGAAGUGUUGCCUUUUCUUAAGAAUCCGGAUUUCAGAGUGGUUGAGCACUCGCCUGAAGCCACACAGUAAAUGCUAGAGCUGGGAAACAUUUUAAAGGUCAUCCUGGCUGCUGCAAGGAGAAGAGAUUGAAGUGGGGCAGCAUCACGGGCACCUGCGGGCCCAGAAGGAGAGAAAAUAGAAGAAUGUGUGGAACUGGUGAAAAGCAACAAGUAAACCGAAGCCCAGAAGCUCAAUGACCUGCCCAACAUCACAAAGACCAAAGAACAGAGCCAGGAAUCAAAGAUGGGUGGAUCUUUUCAAUUCAAAUCCUAUGUCCUUUCUUCCACAACACCACGACUCCCUGUGGCUGAUGGAGAAGUUCCAGGCACUGAAUAGAAGUAUGAGAGAGCUAUUUGGGAGGAUGUGGGUCUGCCUGGUACCAUCCAAGUCACACCAUCACUGACAUCUUGAAAGGGUGUGACACCUGCGACUCUGCCUGAAUUGCAGCUACCAGUCCCUGGGGAACAGAGAACACUGUGCCCGACCUGUGAUGAGGUGAGGGGCAGCACAGACUGAGAAGUCAGAGAAAGCUGUAGUGGAACACGACUUCCGACAAUUCACUGGCAUCACAUCGUUCCUGGGUGGCCUCACUUCCUCCAGGCAGCUUCCCCAGAGGGGUGUCAUUUCAGCUAGAAGAGGAGCUUGGACAUAUGUACAACUUGGACCUUUCUCUCCCACAGCUGCAAACAGCAAAGAGUAUGGAAGAGUACACAAGAACACGUGAACCCGCAUUCACUCAGUGACAUGAGAACCCUGUUAAUAGCCUAGGGUUUAGUCCCCCCUUCUCUCACUUUUCUUUGAAGUGAAAUCAUUCUGUUGUCAACCUUGGUGAGGGUUAGCCUGUUUGACUGAAGCAGUAAUUUGACAAGAUGUGUCUUCACUGUCAUUCAAAUGGUGGAAUACAGCU